AUUAAAGUGGAUAACAAGUGGAUAGCAAAUUUUGUACAAAUAAUUUAACUUUAAACUGCUAUAUAGUCGCAAAAUGACUGAAGUAUCUUCCAAAGACCAAACAUUACGUUAAUUUUCAAGCAAGUAUUUACUGCCACCGCAAUGGACUAGAAGCAGACGACGCUUAAAAGUGACGAUUUCACUGAUUUAAAGAGGGGGAAGCGAGAGGGGGAAGCGACCAAAUUCACCAAGGACAGCAUAUUUUGGAGAUAUCUCCUAUAAAAAGGGCGACGGUCGCGUUCACAAAGGCGACGGUCGCGUUCGUAAAGUGCGACGGUCGUGUUCAAAGGGCGAGAUAUCGCAUUUAAAAGGAGUAAAAAUGAGAGCUGUUCCGGGUCGCCUUCCUAGCUGUAUCCGGCUGAACUGACGUUGUCCACGGUGAAGACCCGGACGUUGAUGAUCAGCUUAUCAUAUGAUAUGAACGCCAUUUCAAUUUCAAGGCUCAUUACACGGGUUUCAAUGCUGGACAUUAGUUUAUUCAGUUCAGAAAGCUGUGAUUGUAUAGUGUCAAGCUUCGCAAGCCGUGAGUCCACAGAGUUUAAUCGAUCAAGAAUUUGCGAGAGAUUGUCAUUAAAUGUUUGUGUCGUACCUUGCCCCUUGAGGACGGUCUGCUGGGCCGACUGUUGCAUUGGUUGCAUCUGCUGGUACUCGACUUGCUGUGGCUGCUGCGAGUAGAAGGCGCCGGAAGACGUCUGGUAGGCAUUCAUGGCAGCCAUGUUAGACAUGUUAUACGACACUUGAUUUGCAUUGCAUUGAGUUCACAGAAUGGAAGUUUUGAUGGCAUUGUGCAGUUGAUGGCAAACCAGAAGGCAGACGGGCUAGGUUCGUGCGCAACUUCUCUGUUGUC